AACGAACGCUGGCGGCAUGCCUAACACAUGCAAGUCGAACGAGACCUUCGGGUCUAGUGGCGCACGGGUGCGUAACGCGUGGGAAUCUGCCCUUGGGUUCGGAAUAACAGCGAGAAAUUGCUGCUAAUACCGGAUGAAGUCUUCGGACCAAAGAUUUAUCGCCCAGGGAUGAGCCCGCGUAGGAUUAGGUAGUUGGUGGGGUAAUGGCUCACCAAGCCGACGAUCCUUAGCUGGUCUGAGAGGAUGAUCAGCCACACUGGGACUGAGACACGGCCCAGACUCCUACGGGAGGAAGCAGUGGGGAAUAUUGGACAAUGGGCGAAAGCCUGAUCCAGCAAUGCCGCGUGAGUGAUGAAGGCCUUAGGGUUGUAAAGCUCUUUUACCAGGGAUGAUAAUGACAGUACCUGGAGAAUAAGCUCCGGCUAACUCCGUGCCAGCAGCCGCCGUAA
rnacentral:rRNA from 1 species